UCCGUGUUCACCACGGCAGUCUCUCUAGAGAGCCCAACUUAAUGCUGGCAACUAGAGACAAGGGUUGCGCUCGUUGCGGGACUUAACCCAACAUGUCACCACACGAGCUGACGACAGCCAUGCAGCACCUGUCUUCCUGUCGUAUUGCUACGAAAGCCGUAUCUCUACGGAUGUCAGGAGAUGUCAAACCCAGGUAAGGUUCUUCGCGUUGCGUCGAAUUAAACCACAUGCUCCACCGCUUGUGCGGGCCCCCGUCAAUUCCUUUGCGUUCCAACCUUGCGGUCGUACUCCCCAGGCGGGGUACUUCCUGCGUUAGCGCCGGCACCCAGAGGGUCGCUCCCCCAGGCACCUAGUACCCAUCGUUUACGGCGUGGACUAC
rnacentral:misc_RNA from 1 species